GAAACCUCCAGACGAUAGAGAGAGCCGUCUGGAAGAUUGAAAAAUUCGAGAACGCAUUAUCGUUUUUAUACAUAUUAUAUGGGGACUGUUCUCAGGACAAUUUCGGAAAAAGAGAUCCGGCAAUGGCAUAAAGGCUUCUUGAAGGAUUGUCCAGACGGCCUCCUUACAGAGCAGGGGUUCAUCAACAUAUACAAGCAGUUUUUCCCGCAGGGCGACCCGACCCGGUUCGCCACUCUCGUGUUCCGGGUGUUCGACGAAAACAAGGACGGCAGCAUCACGUUCGAGGAGUUUAUCCGAGCGUUAUCCAUCACGUCAAGAGGAAGUCUGGACGAAAAACUACACUGGGCGUUCCGGCUGUAUGACGUCGACAACGAUGGCUUCAUCACGCGCGCCGAGAUGUACAACAUUGUCGAGGCCAUCUGCCAGAUGGUGGGCCAGCCGAUAGACGGCGAGAAGAGCUCACAACGCGUGGACAAGAUCUUCGACUCGAUGGACAAGGACAACGACGAAAAGCUGACCCUGGAGGAGUUCAAGGAGGGCUCCAAGGCCGACCCUCGCAUCGUGCAGGCGCUCAGCAUCUGCGACUCCAACAACUGACAGUCGUCGGGCGGCGGGCGGCGCGAGUACCUCUGACCGCCCCCGCCGCCGCCCCCGCCCACCGAGCCGCCGCUGUGCCACCGGCCACGGGUGGUCUGUGGCCUCGGCUGAGGUCGGCCGGCUGACGUCUACUUUGCACUGAGGGCCGGUCUGUGGCCUCAGCUGAGGGCUGCCUGACGGCUCUGGUGGACUGAGGGCCGGUCUGGGGCCUCGCCUGAGGUCGGCCGGCUGACAGCUCUAGUGUGGACUGAAGGCCGGUCUGUGGCCUCAGCUGAGGAGGGCUGCCUGACGGCUCUGGUGUGGACUGAGGGGUCAGUCGGCGAAGCGGGAACGGUCAUGGACAGGGGCAAAUAUGCCAAAUGCCAGCGAGAUUCGAUCGGGUUGUGGCGCAAAGACAGUGACAUCGCUGAGGGCAAGUGGAAGAAUGUAGCCGAUAGCAGACUGUGAGCGGGCGGACAGCUCAGAGGGGUACUGAGCGGCGGGCGGACAGAUCAGCGGGACAGUGAGCGGAGAGGGGACAGCUGGGACAGUCAGCGGGAGGAGGACAGUGCACAGCGGUCUUGCAUCCUGUGACGGUGCCGAUGGUGAGAGGACAGUCAGCGUCCGGGUCGCCGGCCCCAGUCCGUCAGCAGUUUUCUGACUGUAUAGCAAAUUGCGACGGCGGGGAUUAGAGGCACGCGCCGAAAUCCAAUUCACGCGAGUGUUCGCGCCAAUGACAGACGAGUGUGUGUCUUAUCGCUACACUGGAGAUCAACAGCUGGGAGAGGAGCGCAAAGAGUGUGAGCUGAGGGCAGACGUGCCGUGUCUAGUAACCUGCGCCGUCAUCUGUUGGAGAGAGUGGGUGUCAGCCCGGCGCUGUCUUGAGUGUCCUGUUAGACGACGAGCAGUGAGAGCUACCGGCUUAAUCGAGUGACAUGCCUCCUGAGACCCCGUGACGAAAGGCGCAACCUGCGGGACGUGCCCAGCAGUGUGUUAAAACCUGUCCGGUAUCAUGACCUCAGUCAUGCUGUAACAAAUCUUCUUGCUAUUCCAUUCCGAUGUUGACGGGAAGUUUGCUGGCGGCGCUGUGUUCCCGCAUCUGUCUACGGUCGGUGAGCCACGCCGCUUCUCGUGGCCGUUAUGCAUGGCGGGUCAUUCUAUCCGAUACAGCAAUGUGGAUCAGUUUCGGUGUGGCGAUGAACGAACAUCGUGCCUCGGCGAUACGAGUAGACGAGGCACAUCGCUUACUUUUGCAGUUGGAGGAGUAGAAAUUUGGCAAUACGCCCUAUAUAUUAGAGCUAAAUGUAUUUGAACAUUUCAUAUGAUGAAUAAAAAUAUUGAAGAAUGAAGUAAAUGCA
rnacentral:misc_RNA from 1 species